rnacentral:lncRNA from 1 species
UCAGCAUUGUCCUUCCUUCUGGGCUUCUGUUUGUAGCCCUUUCUGCCUUGCAUCAUAAUGAAUUGUUGGCAUGGUCUGACCCAGAGGUUUGCUGCAGAACAGGCUUUAUUCCUCCCUGUGUCGUUGAGGAGUUAAUCCUUCAGCAAGUAAUUCGUUGUCAUUUAACCAACCUGGAAGAAUUGGGAAAUUAGCACGACAAAAUAAGAGUGCUGAGAAGUGCAAGUUGUUAAUUUCCCCUUUUUGGGCAAGCCCUGUUCCUUGGAUUCUGCCCUGGGCCCCCCUCCUAUCACAUAGCCAUUUUACUGGCAUCAUUCAUUUUACUGGCUUCAGUUGGCCAGGGUCUGCUGUAAUCUUGCCGUGGUCAUUUUCUUCAAUGGACACCAUCCUGCUGAGGCCUGGGCCCUGGAAGAGGGUGGGAGGAUUCCUAGGUAUCUGUGUCAUCAGUAGGCAGGUGAGGAUCGAACUUGGGACCUUGUGCUUGUGAGGCAGGGCAUGGAACCACUGAGCUAAAUUCCUGGCCCUAGGCGUGUGCCUUUGAGAAGC